rnacentral:rRNA from 1 species
ACUCCUACGGGAGGCAGCAGUGGGGAAUUUUGGACAAUGGGGGCAACCCUGAUCCAGCCAUGCCGCGUGAGUGAAGAAGGCCUUCGGGUUGUAAAGCUCUUUCAGCUGGAGCGAAACGGUACGCUCUAACAUAGCGUGCUACUGACGGUACCAGCAGAAGAAGCACCGGCUAACUACGUGCCAGCAGCCGCGGUAAUACGUAGGGUGCGAGCGUUAAUCGGAAUUACUGGGCGUAAAGCGUGCGCAGGCGGAUUGUUAAGCAAGACGCGAAAUCCCCGGGCUUAACCUGGGAAUGGCGUUUUGAACUGGCAGUCUAGAGUGCGUCAGAGGGGGGUGGAAUUCCACGUGUAGCAGUGAAAUGCGUAGAGAUGUGGAGGAACACCGAUGGCGAAGGCAGCCCCCUGGGAUGACACUGACGCUCAUGUACGAAAGCGUGGGGAGCAAACAGGAUUAGAUACCCUGGUAGUC